rnacentral:rRNA from 1 species
UACGUAGGGUGCAAGCGUUAAUCGGAAUUACUGGGCGUAAAGCGUGCGCAGGCGUUUGUAAGUUUGUCGUGAAAGCCCCGGGCUCAACCUGGGGAACUUGCGAUGAAGACUGCAAGGCUUGAAUCGUGGCAGAGGGGGGUAGAAUUCCACGGUGUAGCAGUGAAAUGCGUAGAGAUGUGGAGGAACACCGAUGGCGAAAGGCA